UUAAGCGACUAAGCGUACACGGUGGAUGCCCUGGCAGUCAGAGGCGAUGAAGGACGUGCUAAUCUGCGAUAAGCGUCGGUAAGGUGAUAUGAACCGUUAUAACCGGCGAUUUCCGAAUGGGGAAACCCAGUGUGUUUCGACACACUAUCAUUAACUGAAUCCAUAGGUUAAUGAGGCGAACCGGGGGAACUGAAACAUCUAAGUACCCCGAGGAAAAGAAAUCAACCGAGAUUCCCCAGUAGCGGCGAGCGAACGGGGAGGAGCCCAGAGCCUGAAUCAGUGUGUGUGUUAGUGGAAGCGUCUGGAAAGGCGCGCGAUACAGGGUGACAGCCCCGUACACAAAAAUGCACAUGCUGUGAGCUCGAUGAGUAGGGCGGGGACACGUGGUAUCCUGUCUGAAUAUGGGGGGACCAUCCUCCAAGGCUAAAUACUCCUGACUGACCGAUAGUGAACCAGUACCGUGAGGGAAAGGCGAAAAGAACCCCGGCGAGGGGAGUGAAAAAGAACCUGAAACCGUGUACGUACAAGCAGUGGGAGCACGCUUAGGCGUGUGACUGCGUACCUUUUGUAUAAUGGGUCAGCGACUUAUAUUCUGUAGCAAGGUUAACCGAAUAGGGGAGCCGAAGGGAAACCGAGUCUUAACUGGGCGUUAAGUUGCAGGGUAUAGACCCGAAACCCGGUGAUCUAGCCAUGGGCAGGUUGAAAGUUGGGUAACACUAACUGGAGGACCGAACCGACUAAUGUUGAAAAAUUAGCGGAUGACUUGUGGCUGGGGGUGAAAGGCCAAUCAAACCGGGAGAUAGCUGGUUCUCCCCGAAAGCUAUUUAGGUAGCGCCUCGUGAAUUCAUCUCCGGGGGUAGAGCACUGUUUCGGCAAGGGGGUCAUCCCGACUUACCAACCCGAUGCAAACUGCGAAUACCGGAGAAUGUUAUCACGGGAGACACACGGCGGGUGCUAACGUCCGUCGUGAAGAGGGAACAACCAGACCGCCAGCUAAGGUCCCAAAGUCAUGGUUAAGUGGGAACGAUGUGGGAAGGCCCAGACAGCCAGGAUGUUGGCUUAGAAGCAGCCAUCAUUUAAAGAAAGCGUAAUAGCUCACUGGUCGAGUCGGCCUGCGCGGAAGAUGUAACGGGGCUAAACCAUGCACCGAAGCUGCGGCAGCGACGCUGAUGCGUUGUUGGGUAGGGGAGCGUUCUGUAAGCCUGUGAAGGUGUGCUGUGAGGCAUGCUGGAGGUAUCAGAAGUGCGAAUGCUGACAUAAGUAACGAUAAAGCGGGUGAAAAGCCCGCUCGCCGGAAGACCAAGGGUUCCUGUCCAACGUUAAUCGGGGCAGGGUGAGUCGACCCCUAAGGCGAGGCCGAAAGGCGUAGUCGAUGGGAAACAGGUUAAUAUUCCUGUACUUGGUGUUACUGCGAAGGGGGGACGGAGAAGGCUAUGUUGGCCGGGCGACGGUUGUCCCGGUUUAAGCGUGUAGGCUGGUUUUCCAGGCAAAUCCGGAAAACUAAGGCUGAGGCGUGAUGACGAGGCACUACGGUGCUGAAGCAACAAAUGCCCUGCUUCCAGGAAAAGCCUCUAAGCAUCAGGUAACAUCAAAUCGUACCCCAAACCGACACAGGUGGUCAGGUAGAGAAUACCAAGGCGCUUGAGAGAACUCGGGUGAAGGAACUAGGCAAAAUGGUGCCGUAACUUCGGGAGAAGGCACGCUGAUAUGUAGGUGAAGUCCCUCGCGGAUGGAGCUGAAAUCAGUCGAAGAUACCAGCUGGCUGCAACUGUUUAUUAAAAACACAGCACUGUGCAAACACGAAAGUGGACGUAUACGGUGUGACGCCUGCCCGGUGCCGGAAGGUUAAUUGAUGGGGUCAGCGCAAGCGAAGCUCUUGAUCGAAGCCCCGGUAAACGGCGGCCGUAACUAUAACGGUCCUAAGGUAGCGAAAUUCCUUGUCGGGUAAGUUCCGACCUGCACGAAUGGCGUAAUGAUGGCCAGGCUGUCUCCACCCGAGACUCAGUGAAAUUGAACUCGCUGUGAAGAUGCAGUGUACCCGCGGCAAGACGGAAAGACCCCGUGAACCUUUACUAUAGCUUGACACUGAACAUUGAGCCUUGAUGUGUAGGAUAGGUGGGAGGCUUUGAAGUGUGGACGCCAGUCUGCAUGGAGCCGACCUUGAAAUACCACCCUUUAAUGUUUGAUGUUCUAACGUUGACCCGUAAUCCGGGUUGCGGACAGUGUCUGGUGGGUAGUUUGACUGGGGCGGUCUCCUCCUAAAGAGUAACGGAGGAGCACGAAGGUUGGCUAAUCCUGGUCGGACAUCAGGAGGUUAGUGCAAUGGCAUAAGCCAGCUUGACUGCGAGCGUGACGGCGCGAGCAGGUGCGAAAGCAGGUCAUAGUGAUCCGGUGGUUCUGAAUGGAAGGGCCAUCGCUCAACGGAUAAAAGGUACUCCGGGGAUAACAGGCUGAUACCGCCCAAGAGUUCAUAUCGACGGCGGUGUUUGGCACCUCGAUGUCGGCUCAUCACAUCCUGGGGCUGAAGUAGGUCCCAAGGGUAUGGCUGUUCGCCAUUUAAAGUGGUACGCGAGCUGGGUUUAGAACGUCGUGAGACAGUUCGGUCCCUAUCUGCCGUGGGCGCUGGAGAACUGAGGGGGGCUGCUCCUAGUACGAGAGGACCGGAGUGGACGCAUCACUGGUGUUCGGGUUGUCAUGCCAAUGGCACUGCCCGGUAGCUAAAUGCGGAAGAGAUAAGUGCUGAAAGCAUCUAAGCACGAAACUUGCCCCGAGAUGAGUUCUCCCUGACUCCUUGAGAGUCCUGAAGGAACGUUGAAGACGACGACGUUGAUAGGCCGGGUGUGUAAGCGCAGCGAUGCGUUGAGCUAACCGGUACUAAUGAACCGUGAGGCUUAACCUU
rnacentral:rRNA from 1 species